rnacentral:rRNA from 1 species
CCUACGGGAGGCAGCAGUAGGGAAUCUUCCACAAUGGGCGAAAGCCUGAUGGAGCAACGCCGCGUGGGUGAAGAAGGUCUUCGGAACGUAAAACCCUGUUGUUAGAGAAGAAAGUGCGUGAGAGUAACUGUUCACGUUUCGACGGUAUCUAAACAGAAAGCCACGGCUAACGACGUGCCAGCAGCCGCGGUAGUACGUAGGUGGCAAGCGUUAUCAGGAUUUAUUGGGCGGAAAGGGAACGCAGGCGGUCUUUUAAGUGUGAUGUGAAAGCCCUCGGCUUAACCGGGGUAGUGCAUUGGAAACUGGCAGACUUGAGUUCAGAAGAGGAGUGUGGAAUGCCAGGUGUAGCGGUGAAAUGCGUAGAUAUAUGGAAGAACACCAGUGGCGAAGGCGGCUUGCUGG